UACGUAGGUGGCAAGCGUUGUCCGGAUUUACUGGGCGUAAAGAGCGCGCAGGCGGUCGGAUAAGUCGAAUGUGAAAGCCCCCGGCUCAACUGGGGAGGGUCAUUCGAUACUGUUCGACUCGAAGGCAGGAGAGGGAAGUGGAAUUCCACGUGUAGCGGUGAAAUGCGCAGAUAUCAGGAGGAACACCGGUGGCGAAGGCGGCUUGCUGGGCCAGUUCUGACGCUGAGGCGCGAAAGCGUGGGGAGCGAACAGG
rnacentral:rRNA from 1 species